rnacentral:rRNA from 1 species
UACAGAGGGGGCAAGCGUUGUUCGGAAUUACUGGGCGUAAAGGGCGCGUAGGCGGCCUUCUAAGUCGAACGUGAAAUCCCUGGGCUCAACCCAGGAACUGCGUCCGAUACUGGAAGGCUUGAAUCCGGGAGAGGUGAGUGGAACUGCGAGUGUAGAGGUGAAAUUCGUAGAUAUUCGCAAGAACACCAGUGGCGAAGGCGGCUCACUGGCUCGGUACUGACGCUGAGGUGCGAAAGCGUGGGGAGCAAACAGG